rnacentral:rRNA from 1 species
CCUACGGGAGGCAGCAGUAGGGAAUCUUCCGCAAUGGACGAAAGUCUGACGGAGCAACGCCGCGUGAACGAUGAAGGUCUUCGGAUCGUAAAGUUCUGUUAUCAGGGAAGAACAAGUAUCGGAGUAACUGCCGGUACCUUGACGGUACCUGACCAGAAAGCCACGGCUAACUACGUGCCAGCAGCCGCGGUAAU